rnacentral:misc_RNA from 1 species
AGAGAGAGAGAGAGAGAGAGGAGUAGUUAAUGGAAAUGGAAGGAGAUAGUUUUUGCUUGUUCUUUUUUUUCUUUUUUUGGAUUAAUUUUGGUGGUCGCCGCUGCCCGCUAUUGUAGCACAAUUGGAAAUCAGAACUUUUUGAGGGUCUGGUGUUCCAUCCCUGUGGGAACAAGUGACAGUAGGACCGUAGAUCUUUUUGAUGAAGAGAAUCUUACGCUGUGCGCUGACCUGACCAUUCAUUAGUUGGUGCUUAAGCCUUCAACUAUCGACACGCAAUAUCUGGUCGCGACUGGUGACCAUUGGGUGGAUUGUCCUGAUU